UUGUUUGCCUUCCCGAAUUACACAUUGUUGGUGUUUCGGGACUCGCAGUAUCGCGUCUCGAACUGCUGUCUAAUAGAUGCUUACAGUACGCUCAGAAUUCCUUAAAUUCUUUUGGAACCAGAUGUCUGCGAACCUUAAUAGUAGUGUCUGGCCCUGUAGUAAGACAUCCCGACAAGCUAAACCCUCUCCAUGAGGCACUGCUGCAGCUGUGGGAGUUAUCCUAGAUGCCUAGUGUGGGGCCGAAACCCCACAACCUUUCUGCUGGGAGAUAUCCCAAGUACCUUGUGUGGGGCCAAGACCCACAACCGUUGUGCAACGGCUUCUGAUAUAGGGACAUAAACCAGUUCACUGACGUUAAACAGGAGAUAAGUAUUUUUUCUUUCUUUCAACAAUUAAUAAUUAUUAUAAAAUAAAGCAGUAGAGAUUAAAAAAAAAACAUACGCAAUUAGCUUAAACUGAUUCACAACACAUUGUUAAACGGCGGUGAUCUUAAAACAGUACAUUUUGAUAAUGCAUGCGUUCAUUUAUGUUGGAUUCAAACAGCUCUGCAUUAUUGUGAUAGCUAGAUUAUGCACCACUAGGUAAACAACAUCAAUAGGUAAAUAUGUUACUCACAAAAAUCUAUUUUCCCCCAUCUGGCUUGCUCUUACUAUUCAUUACUGCCUAAACAGGUUUAUUUCCACAACAGAACGGUAUAAAACAAGAAUGAUCGUUAAACCUUAUAAUCUGGUUGAAUUUUUACAACUAAUUCAAUGGAAGAUUUCUUCUCAUUGCCUACUUAACGUUUGUUAAUGAGAGAAUAAGUAGCAACUAUGUGCCUGAUGGGUGAGAACAUUUGCUCAAGGAUGGCGGUGGCUGAGCACUACAAGAAUAUGCGACAAUCAAUGAUGCUGAUAUACCUGCGAUUUCAGAAUGAUGACCUAUACUGAUGCUGCACUGUUUUAAUUGUACUUCUAUUGUAAAAUCCACGCUGACUUUUCCCACGCAAUCUUUAUUUGCCAGUCUGGACACAUUUGAGUGCUUUAUGUGAUUGAUCAAGACAUGAAUGAUUGUGAAACUAUUUAUCAUUCACUACUGACUCAGAACUACAGUAGUUGAAAACAGCAUUUUUGCAAGAUGACACCGCCCAUAUAGGGGGCUUUGCCACCCACAGCCCCUUCCUCAUAUAUAUAUCGACUCUAUAGUCAGCAAUAUUGGGAAAAGGAGACCAUCUCCAAACAGUGCACCAUAGUCUCACAUAAGCAGCGAUACCUAAUAACAUAUAUUGCAAUGACAAAUGUUUGAUGGAUUCGGAACAUUAGUAAACGUAAUUGUGAAACUGGAACCCAAUCAAAUUGUUUUCAAUCAGGAGUAGUGAAUUCACUUCUGCUUAAUACUAUUGAAAACCCAUUUUUACUUAAAAAAAAACAUUCACAUUAUAAAGAUUAAACAAAUUAGCAGCAUCCUAUUCAGUAUAUAAAUGUGGGUAGAGUCUACAAUGCCAAGAUUACAUUUGCAGUGCUAUAUACUGACUAGGAUACUGCUGAUUUGUUUCUAUCUGAACAUAUCAACAUUUUCUAGUAAUACAAUGCAUGCUUCUAGGUGAUGUCUAAACUGAUUUUGCUUUGGAACAAAGAACAAAGCACCAGGAUGUUGUUUAACAAAGACAGUGAGCUAGAACAGAAUGGAAGACCUAACGGUUUUAAUUUCAAGUUCUGCCUUCCAGUAAAAUGGCACUCUUGCCUGUAUCUCUGAAAGCCAAUCAACCUUCUGGUUAAGGACUGUCACGCUGGAAAAAGUGAUACCCUAAAUAUGAUUUGGUUUAGAGGAAUCCUGAUGCAAAUAACAGUUAAGUACAGAUUACAGAAAGACAGAAGUCAGAAGAAUAACUAAACAAUGAUACCCACUGGCCCCAUGACAGCAAAAAAGCAUGAGUUCUCAAGCAUUUUUAUAUGCACAUGAAAGGUUUUAGCCAAUAAUGUGCAAUAUGUCAAUGUGUUUAAUAAUAUUAUCGUAAAUAUAAAAUAGAAGAAAAGUACUAUUAUUUUUAGCACAGUACAUUCUGUGUGGAUAGUGACAAACUGUUUUUUUUUCUUUUUUGAACCAUAAUGAUUCACAUAAAAUCCCUCAAUAAUUUGCAGGUUAUUCAGUUAUGGAAAUAUAGCAAUAUGCACUACAAAGAAAAGCAGUCGCUGAUAUCUUCAUUGGAUGCACCCAGACAAUCUCAUGCUCAUUUUGUUUCUCGCACCCUGCCUUUUGCAUACUACUUCUUAGCAUUUUAUCACUUGUUGAGAAGACCAUCUCCAAAGAGCAUCAAGAUACUGCGUGGUGGUGUGGUCAGCUAAUGGAAGUACGUAUACUAAAUGGUGUGUACUGGUGCUGAUCAGCUCACUUUUUAAGAAAUGAAUUACUUUUAAUAAAUGGUCAACUUGGAAGUAAAGUCUUUCAAAUAGCAAAACACAAGUCAAGUUUGAUGAACCAAAGACGAGAGAUGACUUACAAUUUGAGUUUGUGAUUUGAGCUCCAAAUAUGUACAUGUAUUUGAAAAGGUGAAGCACGAAGAGUGAAAUUAUUUCAUACCUGUUCUGUUCACAAGUAGGGUCCAAACCAAAUUUGACAAAAGCAGUAAUCUAAUACAUUAAAAAGCACACAAAUAAAUACACUUGAUCGUAGUUUAGUUCGAUGGCAAAACCACUACUGUCUUUUAUAUAAAAUGAGAAUUGUAUUGGGAUGACAGUUCAGACUUUGAGAAUGGCAUAACUGAAACCUCAGCCAUAAUGUUAACAUCUGCUUGAUAGAAAUGUUCAGUGAUUUAGUACUUAAGUACAAAAGAGCAGCACAGACUUCAGGAUGCUGUUUCUUAAAAAAAUAACAACUCGGAAACAAAUGCAAGUAUUUAUCAACUAUGUAUGGGAGCCAGGAGCUUGUAGUUUUUGGCUUGUUUGUUUGUUUGAUUAAGAGAAAUGCAAGCACACUGUUUCAGAAAUAUCACUGUCCAAUUUGAAGUUGCCAAGGAAAAGAGAAAGGCAAAUGAUAGAUUUUUAUGAGAAAACAUUUUCUCUGUGCAAUGGUAGCCUUGGAGGCAAGUAAUAAGUAAUAGGUAUGUGGGGUAGUGUUACCAUCAUGUGAGGGGUAGGGAUUUCCCAUUCAAAAAACAGGAGUUUUAGACAAAUAUUCAUUGACAGUCUUGGUCACCAUUUUGUGCAUUUACUGCAAAAUGUUUGCAUUUAGGUAGGAGGCUUACAAAGUAACUAUUGCCACUGCAUGGUGGUACACUUUCAAAAAUAAAUACAUAUGCCAAUAUUUCAGAAAUAAAUUAGAGUAAAAGUGAAACAACGUUUUGUUGUGGAGAAUCAUAUUACAGGAUCAAAGAUAGUUAUGAGGCAUGUUGACCAGAAGAGCAUUGAGUAACGUAGCUCAUUCUCCAAAACACUGUCUUGUCAAGCGAGGAAUUCAGAGUCGCAUAUAGAUAAAAGGAACUGCGGACUACAAUAAGCAGCUCAUUAGCAGCUCAUAUCCUUACUCCUCUGCACUAACUGCAUUGUCCUGGGAAAAUUCCUGUGGCUGUCAAUAUGAUUCCAGCGAAAUCUGUGUUAGACUAGUUAGUAUAAAAAUUGUUAUGACCACCCCAAAAAUUCAAUUUAAUGUAGUUUAGCAUUUAUUUCUGAUGAAGCCUAUUAGUAUUGUUGGACAAAAGUGCUACAUGCAGCCAUUGGUGAAAGGCAUUCUUAAACCAUCCCAGCUACCUGAAACCAUCAUCCUACAGAAAUCAGAGCUGGAAAAAAGCACUGAUAGGUUUACUAGAAAGGUGAAAUAUCUUCUGCAAGAAGGUACCUGCACUGCAAGAAAGUACCUGCACGUGCUUUCAAGAUAAAGUAUAAGUAAUUUGUCACUUGAACUCUCAUGUAAAUUUUAUUGCAACAUUAUUACUGUAAUGAACAUUAUCUCAUAUUAGAUAUAAAUACUGUAAAUAUGACUUGCUCAUUUAAAGUUUUGUAAGUUAUUA